AACGAACGCUGGCGGCAUGCCUAACACAUGCAAGUCGAACGAGACCUUCGGGACUAGUGGCGCACGGGUGCGUAACGCGUGGGAACCUGCCCUUAGGCUCGGAAUAACUCCCCGAAAGGGGUGCUAAUACCGGAUAAUGUCCUCGGACCAAAGAUUGAUCGCCUUUGGAUGGGCCCGCGUUGGAUUAGCUUGUUGGUAGGGUAAAAGCCUACCAAGGCGACGAUCCAUAGCUGGUCUGAGAGGAUGAUCAGCCACACUGGGACUGAGACACGGCCCAGACUCCUACGGGAGGCAGCAGUGGGGAAUAUUGGACAAUGGGCGAAAGCCUGAUCCAGCAAUGCCGCGUGAGUGAUGAAGGCCUUAGGGUUGUAAAGCUCUUUUACCCGGGAUGAUAAUGACAGUACCGGGAGAAUAAGCUCCGGCUAACUCCGUG
rnacentral:rRNA from 1 species